rnacentral:tRNA from 1 species
GCCUUCGUGGUGUAGUGGUCAGCACGCUCGAUUCGUAACCGAGAAGUCCAUAGUCAAUUCCCGGCGAAGGCG